CUCCAGUUGAUCGCAUGGUCUUCUGGGAAAGCUUUCGCGGUAUGGGAUGGGGUCGCGUCCUAUCAGCUUGACGGCGGGGUAACGGCCCACCGUGGCUUCGACGGGUAGCCGGCCUGAGAGGGCGACCGGCCACAUUGGGACUGAGAUACGGCCCAGACUCCUACGGGAGGCAGCAGUGGGGAAUAUUGCACAAUGGGCGCAAGCCUGAUGCAGCGACGCCGCGUGAGGGAUGGAGGCCUUCGGGUUGUAAACCUCUUUUAUCGGGGAGCAAGCGAGAGUGAGUUUACCCGUUGAAUAAGCACCGGCUAACUACGUGCCAGCAGCCGCGGUAAUACGUAGGGUGCAAGCGUUAUCCGGAAUUAUUGGGCGUAAAGGGCUCGUAGGCGGUUCGUCGCGUCCGGUGUGAAAGUCCAUCGCUUAACGGGGAUCCGCGCCGGGUACGGGCGG
rnacentral:rRNA from 1 species